rnacentral:rRNA from 1 species
UACGUAGGGUGCAAGCGUUGUCCGGAAUUAUUGGGCGUAAAGAGCUCGUAGGCGGUCUGUUGCGUCGGCUGUGAAAACCCGGGGCUCAACCCCGGGCCUGCAGCCGAUACGGGCAGACUAGAGUUCGGCAGGGGAGACUGGAAUUCCUGGUGUAGCGGUGAAAUGCGCAGAUAUCAGGAGGAACACCGGUGGCGAAGGCGGUUCUCUGGGCCUGUACUGACGCUGAGGAACGAAAGCGUGGGGAGCGAACAGG